GAUGAACGCUGGCGGCGUGCCUAACACAUGCAAGUCGAGCGAUUCUCUUCGGAGAAGAGCGGCGGACGGGUGAGUAACGCGUGGGUAACCUGCCCUGUACACACGGAUAACAUACCGAAAGGUAUGCUAAUACGAGAUAAUAUGCUUUUAUCGCAUGGUAGAAGUAUCAAAGCUUUUGCGGUACAGGAUGGACCCGCGUCUGAUUAGCUAGUUGGUAAGGUAACGGCUUACCAAGGCGACGAUCAGUAGCCGACCUGAGAGGGUGAUCGGCCACAUUGGAACUGAGACACGGUCCAAACUCCUACGGGAGGCAGCAGUGGGGAAUAUUGCACAAUGGGCGAAAGCCUGAUGCAGCAACGCCGCGUGAGCGAUGAAGGCCUUCGGGUCGUAAAGUUCUGUCCUCAAGGAAGAUAAUGGCGGUACUUGAGGAGGAAGCCCCGGCUAACUACGUG
rnacentral:rRNA from 1 species